GUAAGGUGUAACUUUGGAGGAGAAAGGCGCUCCAACACACUCUCAGAAUCCAGACCAUGUUUUUCCACUGCUGGGCGCAGCCCAGAUCCAGGAGAACUCGCCUGCACUGUAAGCACUGAGAAGGCAAGAAUCCUCUAAGUCACAGUCUGUCUGUUGGCACUGGGGGCCAUGUGGAGGUCCAGCACCGUCUUUAGAAAGAUGAAAGUGUGGAGGAGCGAGUGAGUCUUCAGCUGCAGUGCCAGUCCAGGCAAUUCAGGGAGUAUGAAACUCCAGCCACCCUCAGUCAGGCCUCUGAACACCACUGGAGCACAUUUCCCCAGGAGUCAGCCGGUGAGUGGGAGGGAUCCCUGGAAGAACGUAAUGAACCUGGCUUCCAUGGUGAGAACUGUUGCCUUCUGUGGAUGUCAUUGGCUUGCUGGUGUCAACCCCUUUCAGUGAGUUCAUCUUUUUUCUCAGACUCCAGAGGGCUAAGAGUCGUCUGAGGCCGAGCCUCCCUCUCCGUCUUCUUGCAUAGAGACACUGCCCCUGGGGAUCGCCACUGGCUUUCCUGUCUAGACUCACAGUGAAACAGAUGCAGCAUCCAGGGUCUGCAGCUCAGAAGCAGCCAAGUCUUCUAGCCUUUCCCCACAGUGAGGCAGCUGUUCCCAUGAGCACAUCUGGGAUCUAGGUCAAGUAGCUGGAGAGUUGCUGCUGGUGUCUUUUUCUCAUUGGCUGAAAAUUGCAGGGUUUCCCCUUACCCAUUAGCCCAGAUUGAGAAGGAACAGCCAUUCCCUGACACAUUCACUCGGCCAUGGCUUCUGCCAGCUUCUCUCUAGUCCCACACUCCCAGACUUAGAGUCAGCUGCCCUGUCUUCAAUCUGGCAACUUUUACAAGAGGAAGUGUUAAGCCAUUGUCUACUUGUAAACUCACUUGGCCCUGCCAACAGUCCAGGGAAGUGUUUCCUUCAGGAAGGAUUGAAAAAACUGGACAGAAAGAUAAGGGGGGUCAUGGCCCAGAGCCAACUAACUCUGACUUUCAUGACGGGCUUUACUGCCUAGAAAGACAAGGCAAUAUGGGGAGGAGACUCCGAUUCUGGGGUACCUGUCCAUUUGGGAAGUGUGGGUGGGAUUCUCUGAGCCAGCCCUUUCUUACCCUCCUACCCUGUCCCCACCCCUCUGUCUUCCCACCAAGUUUCUAUGUGCUUUCAUCCAACCUGUGUCAUAACCGCUUAAAUCCCUCAGGAGCACAUGGAGUCCAUGGUUUAACUUGCAAAUGUAAAUGCACAACAAACAACAACAAAAUCUUAGCCUCCAGCUUGUAGCAGAAAAAUCUGUAUCCAAAAUCGAACACAUGCCCCCUUGGUAGCUUUAGUCAAUACAGGGGUCCUGUCCCCAGCUGCUCCCCCCCCCUCCACCUCCAUCAGAGAAAGAAUUCAGGCUCUCUCCUUUGAACACAAACCUAGAGAAAGCGUGGGUUUAAAAAAACACACAGGAAAAACAAGGUUUGAAAGCCAGCCACCGGUGAUGCACACCUAAAAUCCUUGCACUAAGGAGGCUGGGGCAGGAAGGUUGCCAGCCAGGAUUAAGAAGUGAAAUCCUGGGGGCUGGGGAUUUAGCUCAGUGGUAGAGCGAUUACCUAGGAAGCGCAAGGCCCUGGGUUCGGUCCCCAGCUCC
rnacentral:lncRNA from 1 species